rnacentral:rRNA from 1 species
GUCCUUUAGAGUAGAAUUUAAGGUCUAACCUGCCCAUUGAGUAAUUUAACGGCCGCAGUAUUUUGACUGUGCAAAGGUAGCAUAAUCAUUAGUUCUUUAAUUGAGAGCUUGUAUGAAUGGUUGGACGAGAUAUAAACUGUCUUUAAAAUAUAAGUAGAAUUUAAUUUUUAAGUUAAAAAGCUUAAAUAGAAUUAAAAGACGAGAAGACCCUAUAAAUCUUUAUAAAUUUAUUUUUAUAAUUUUUUAGGAUUAUUAAUUUUUAUAAUAUUAAAUUUAUUUUAUUGGGGUAAUAAAAAGAUUUGAUAAAUUCUUUUAUAAUUUUACAUUGAUUAAUGGUUUAAAUGAUCCUAUAAUAUAGAUUUUAGAUUAAGUUACUUUAGGGAUAACAGCGUAAUUUUUUUAGAGAGUUCUUAUCGAUAAGAAAGUUUGCGACCUCGAUGUUGGAUUAAAAUUAAUUUUAGGUGUAGAAGUUUAAAUUUUUAGUCUGUUCGACUAUUAAAAUUUU